GAUGAACGCUGGAGGCGUGCCUAAUACAUGCAAGUCGAGCGAACAGACGAGGAGCUUGCUCCUCUGACGUUAGCGGCGGACGGGUGAGUAACACGUGGAUAACCUACCUAUAAGACUGGGAUAACUUCGGGAAACCGGAGCUAAUACCGGAUAAUAUAUUGAACCGCAUGGUUCAAUAGUGAAAGACGGUUUUGCUGUCACUUAUAGAUGGAUCCGCGCCGCAUUAGCUAGUUGGUAAGGUAACGGCUUACCAAGGCAACGAUGCGUAGCCGACCUGAGAGGGUGAUCGGCCACACUGGAACUGAGACACGGUCCAGACUCCUACGGGAGGCAGCAGUAGGGAAUCUUCCGCAAUGGGCGAAAGCUUGACGGAGCAACGCCGCGUGAGUGAUGAAGGUCUUCGGAUCGUAAAACUCUGUUAUUAGGGAAGAACAAAUGUGUAAGUAACUAUGCACGUCUUGACGGUACCUAAUCAGAAAGCCACGGCUAACUACGUG
rnacentral:rRNA from 1 species